rnacentral:misc_RNA from 1 species
GAUGAAGAACGUAGCGAAAUGCGAUAAUUAAUGUGAAUUGCAGAAUUCAGUGAAUCAUCGAGUCUUUGAACGCACAUUGCGCCCCCUGGUAUUCCGGGGGGCAUGCCUGUCCGAGCGUCAUUGCUGCCCUCAAGCCCGGCUUGUGUGUUGGGCCCUGCUCCCCCGGGGGCAGGCCCGAAAGGCAGUGGCGGCACCGCGUCCGAUCCUCGAGCGUAUGGGGCUUUGUCACCCGCUCUGUAGGCCCGGCCGGCGCUUGCCGACCCCCAUCAAUCUUUUUUCAGGUUGACCUCAGGUCAGGCGGGGCUACCCGCUGAGUUUAAGCAUAUCAAUAAGCGGAGGA